rfam:Picea glauca, whole genome shotgun sequence.
ACAUGCCUACAACAUAGCGUUAAUGCACCAGAUCCCAUUAGAACUCCAUAGUUAAGCAUGCUUAGGCUAGAGUAGUACUGGGAUGGGUUACUGCCCGAAAAUUCCUAGUGUUUGACAUGCC